rnacentral:rRNA from 1 species
CCUACGGGAGGCAGCAGUGGGGAAUAUUGCACAAUGGGGGAAACCCUGAUGCAGCAACGCCGCGUGAGUGAAGAAGUAAUUAGGUAUGGAAAGCUCUAUCAGCAGGGAAGAAGAAAGAAGGUAGCUGACUAAAAAGCACAGGCUAACUACGUGACAGCAGCCGCGGUAAUAAGGAGGGGGCAAGCGUUAACCGGAUUUACUGGGUGUAAAGGGAGCGUAGACGGCUGUGCAAGUCUGAAGUGAAAGCCCGUGGCUCAACCGCGGAACUGCUUUGGAAACUGUAUACCUUGAGUACUGGAGAGGUAUGCGGAAUUCCUGGUGUAGCGGUGAAAUGCGUAGAUAUUAGGAGGAACACCAGUGGCGAAGGCGGCCUGCUGGACAGAAACUGACGUUGAGGCUCGAAAGCGUGGGGAGCAAACAGGAUUAGAUACCCUAGUAGUC